rnacentral:rRNA from 1 species
AGAGUUUGAUCCUGGCUCAGGAUGAACGCUAGCGGAGUAAUACAUGCAAGUCGAGGGGCAGCACGGGUAGCAAUACCUGGUGGCGACCGGCAAACGGGUGCGGAACACGUACAGAACCUUCCUUUAAGCGGGGGAUAGCCUUCGGAAACGGAGAUUAAUACCCCAUAGUAUUGUUGGUUGGCAUCAAUUGACAAUUAAAGAUUUAUCACUUAAAGAUGGCUGUCGGCUGAUUAGGUAGUUGGUGUAGGUAACGGCUCACCAAGCCUUCGAUCAGUAACUGGUGUGAGAGCACGACCAGUCACACGGGCACUGAGACACGGGCCCGACUCCUACGGGAGGCAGCAGUAAGGAAUAUUGGUCAAUGGACGCAAGCUGAACCAGCCAUGCCGCGUGAAGGAUGAAGGUCCUCUGGAUUGUAAACUUCUUUUAUCUGGGACGAAACCCGGGAAUUCUUUCCCGAUUGACGGUACCAGAGGAAUAAGCACCGGCUAACUCCGUGCCAGCAGCCGCGGUAAUACGGAGGGUGCAAGCGUUAUCCGGAUUCACUGGGUUUAAAGGGUGCGUAGGUGGGUCUGUAAGUCAGUGGUGAAAUCUCCGUGCUUAACAUGGAAACUGCCAUUGAUACUAUAGGUCUUGAAUUUUCUGGAGGUCAGCGGAAUAUGUCUGUAGCGGUGAAAUGCUUAGAUAUGACAUAGAACACCAAUUGCGAAGGCAGCUGGCUACAGGGAUAUUGACACUGAGGCACGAAAGCGUGGGGAUCAAACAGGAUUAGAUACCCUAGUAGUCC